rnacentral:rRNA from 1 species
AAGUCCUUCGGGGCGAGUAAAGUGGCGCACGGGUGAGUAACGCGUGGAUAAUCUACCCUUAAGAUGGGGAUAACGGCUGGAAACGGUCGCUAAUACCGAAUACGCUCCCGAUUUUACCGUUGGGGGGAAAGAUGGCCUCUGCUUGCAAGCUAUCGCUUAANGAUGAGUCCGCGUCCCAUUAGCUAGUUGGCGGGGUAACGGCCCACCAAGGCGACGAUGGGUAGCCGGUCUGAGAGGAUGACCGGCCACACUGGAACUGGAACACGGUCCAGACUCCUACGGGAGGCAGCAGUGGGGAAUAUUGCGCAAUGGGCGAAAGCCUGACGCAGCGACGCCGCGUGAGGGAUGAAGGUUCUCGGAUCGUAAACCUCUGUCAGGGGGGAAGAAACCCCCUCGUGUGAAUAAUGCGAGGGCUUGACGGUACCCCCAAAGGAAGCACCGGCUAACUCCGUGCCAGCAGCCGCGGUAAUACGGAGGGUGCAAGCGUUAAUCGGAAUCACUGGGCGUAAAGCGCACGUAGGCGGCUCGGUAAGUCAGGGGUGAAAUCCCACAGCCCAACUGUGGAACUGCCCUUGAUACUGCCGGGCUUGAGUACCGGAGAGGGUGGCGGAAUUCCAGGUGUAGGAGUGAAAUCCGUAGAUAUCUGGAGGAACACCGGUGGCGAAGGCGGCCACCUGGACGGUAACUGACGCUGA